GACUGGAUUUGACAGCGGGCCGAAAGGGUGCGUAAGCAUGCAGUGCGUUGUUAGUUGGCACUUUAAUCUCGGCUAUCAAAAAUUUAACUGGCGAAAACAAGUACGCUCUCGCUGCUUAAUCGAAGUAUAGUAGAUUAGCUUUAUCUUCUCACAAGGUGAGGAGACGAGACAUCACUCAAAAGCUGUGGUUCCGAAGCGUUUUGAUCCAGUGGUGCAGAUAAAUCGGAAAUAGUUUCAGGCAGCUCCGUGUCUGGGAUGAAAUUUUAGGAGAUAAGGUGUGAGUAAGUGGCUCCGGUCGGGCUUACACUCGAAAAUUAAAACGGAGAUAAGCAUGUAGAAAGCGCAUUGUUUCCCCGUUUGGACGAGGGUUCGAUCCCCUCCUGGUCCACA
rnacentral:tmRNA from 1 species